CACACACACACACACACACACACAGAAAUGCUAUGAAACCCUCAUCCCACCAUUAAAUUUUUUUUUUUUUUUUAGAUUUUAUUUACUUAUUCAUGAGAGACAGAAAGAGAGAGGCCGAGACACAGGCAGAGGGAGAAGCAGGCUCCAUGCAAGGAGCCUGAUGCGGGACUCAAACCCGGGAACCCGGGAUUGCCCUGGACCAAAGGCAGGCACUCAAGCACUGAGCCACUCAGGCAUCCCCCACCAUUAAUUAUCUAUGGAGUUUUGAUCAAGGCACCUCAGCCUUCCUUGGCCUCAAGGUCACAAGUUCGUGGUGGAGCUGAGAUGAACAUCCACGAUUUUUGUCUCACACUCUGUAUUCUGCUGCUUGGGACAAGAACAGUGAAGACCAAGAAGGCUACCCCCCCACCCACAUGUAUCUGAGUGUGCCUGUGUGCCACCAGCGUGAGUUCUUGUGGAAGGCUGAUGUGAAGCCUGAAUUCCUU
ensembl:lncRNA